AUUGAACGCUGGCGGCAGGCUUAACACAUGCAAGUCGAGCGGGGAAGGGUAGCUUGCUACCUGACCUAGCGGCGGACGGGUGAGUAAUGCUUAGGAAUCUGCCUAUUAGUGGGGGACAACAUUCCGAAAGGAAUGCUAAUACCGCAUACGCCCUACGGGGGAAAGCAGGGGAUCUUCGGACCUUGCGCUAAUAGAUGAGCCUAAGUCAGAUUAGCUAGUUGGUGGGGUAAAGGCCUACCAAGGCGACGAUCUGUAGCGGGUCUGAGAGGAUGACCCGCCCCACUGGGACUGAGACACGGCCCAGACUCCUACGGGAGGCAGCAGUGGGGAAUAUUGGACAAUGGGCGAAAGCCUGAUCCAGCCAUGCCGCGUGUGUGAAGAAGGCCUUUUGGUUGUAAAGCACUUUAAGCGAGGAGGAGGCUACCGAGAUUAAUACUCUUGGAUAGUGGACGUUACUCGCAGAAUAAGCACCGGCUAACUCUGUGCCAGCCGCCGCGGUAACAC
rnacentral:rRNA from 1 species